CUAACAAAAAGGGUUUAAGCAUUUACUAGGGUUUAUGGAGCUCAAAGGCAUGGGGCACCUGACGAGUGAUGAGAUGAGUAAUGAGUAAUGCGCCACAAAUGUCCAUCUGUUUGGUUUCGGUUUCAGAUCGUCCCUCAAGUGGAUUAUCUUACGGCAGAUUAGUGAUAAAUCUUCCUCCACUUUCAAUUUUAUUUUAAAAACUUAAUAAACGGC
rnacentral:lncRNA from 1 species